rnacentral:rRNA from 1 species
GGAAUAUUGGGCAAUGGAGGAAACUCUGACCCAGCGACGCCGCGUGAGGGAUGAAGGCCUUCGGGUUGUAAACCUCUUUCAGUAGGGAAGAAGCGAAAGUGACGGUACCUACAGAAGAAGCACCGGCUAACUAUGUGCCAGCAGCCGCGGUAAUACAUAGGGUGCAAGCGUUGUCCGGAAUUAUUGGGCGUAAAGAGCUCGUAGGUGGUUCGAUACGUCGGAUGUGAAAAUCAGGGGCUCAACCCCUGACCUGCAUCCGAUACGGUCGAGCUGGAGUUUGGUAGGGGAGACUGGAAUUCCUGGUGUAGCGGUGGAAUGCGCAGAUAUCAGGAGGAACACCGAUGGCGAAGGCAGGUCUCUGGGCCAAUACUGACACUGAGGAGCGAAAGCGUGGGGAGCGAACAGGAUUAGAUACCCUGGUAGUCCACGCCGUAAACGGUGGGCGCUAGUUGUGCGAACCUUCCACGGUUUGUGCGACGCAGCUAACGCAUUAAGCGCCCCGCCUGGGGAGUACGAUCGCAAGAUUAAAACUCAAAUGAAUUGACGG